rnacentral:rRNA from 1 species
AUUGAACGCUGGCGGCGUGCCUAAUACAUGCAAGUCGAACGGAGUGGCGCACGGGUGAGUAAUAUAUAGCUAAUCUGGCCCUUGCUGGAGGGCUACCGUUAGAAAUGAUUGCUAAUACUCCAUAGCAAGGGAUGAGCCUAUAUCGUAUCAGCUAUUCGGAGGGGUAACGACCUACCGAGGCUAUGACGCGUAACUGGUCUGCGAGGAUGAUCAGUCACAUUGGAAAUGAGACACGGUCCAAACUCCUACGGGAGGCAGCAGUAGGGAAUAUUGCGCAAUGGGGGAGACCCUGACGCAGCAACGCCGCGUGGAGGAGAACACUUGUAGGAGCGUAAAGUCCUUUUGUUAGGGAAGCGGUACCUAACGAAUAAGCACCGGCUAACUCCGUGCCAGCAGCCGCGGUAAUAC